rnacentral:tRNA from 1 species
UGGGGUAUGGCCAAGAGGUAAGGCACUGAACUUUGACUUCAGUAUGCGUAGGUUCGAAUCCUACUACCCCAG